UACGGAGGAUGCAAGCGUUAUCCGGAAUGAUUGGGCGUAAAGCGUCCGCAGGUGGCUGUGUAAGUCUGCUGUUAAAGAGUGAGGCUCAACCUCAUAAAGGCAGUGGAAACUACAUGGCUAGAGUGCGUUCGGGGCAGAGGGAAUUCCUGGUGUAGCGGUGAAAUGCGUAGAGAUCAGGAAGAACACCGGUGGCGAAAGCGCUCUGCUGGGCCGACACUGACACUGAGAGACGAAAGCUAGGGGAGCGAAUGGG
rnacentral:rRNA from 1 species